UGAAGUUAGCGGCGGACGGGUGAGUAACACGUGGGUAACCUGCCCAUAAGACUGGGAUAACUCCGGGAAACCGGGGCUAAUACCGGAUAAUAUUUUGAACCGCAUGGUUCGAAAUUGAAAGGCGGCUUCGGCUGUCACUUAUGGAUGGACCCGCGUCGCAUUAGCUAGUUGGUGAGGUAACGGCUCACCAAGGCAACGAUGCGUAGCCGACCUGAGAGGGUGAUCGGCCACACUGGGACUGAGACACGGCCCAGACUCCUACGGGAGGCAGCAGUAGGGAAUCUUCCGCAAUGGACGAAAGUCUGACGGAGCAACGCCGCGUGAGUGAUGAAGGCUUUCGGGUCGUAAAACUCUGUUGUUAGGGAAGAACAAGUGCUAGUUGAAUAAGCUGGCACCUUGACGGUACCUAACCAGAAAGCCACGGCUAACUACGUGCCAGCAGCCGCGGUAAUACGUAGGUGGCAAGCGUUAUCCGGAAUUAUUGGGCGUAAAGCGCGCGCAGGUGGUUUCUUAAGUCUGAUGUGAAAAGCCCACGGGCUCAACCGUGGAGGGUCAUUGAAAACUGGGGAGACUUGAGUGCAGAAGAGGAAAGUGGUAUUUCCAUGUGGUACCGGUGAAAUGCGUAAAGAUAUGG
rnacentral:rRNA from 2 species